rnacentral:tRNA from 1 species
GCGCUGGCACCAGUGGCGGGUGGUCUAUCGGAACCGUCGGCCUCGUUCACACCGAAGAGGUCACUGGUUCGAACCCAGUAUCGCCCA